rnacentral:rRNA from 1 species
GAUGAACGCUGGCGGCGUGCCUAAUACAUGCAAGUCGAGCGAAUGGAUUAAGAGCUUGCUCUUAUGAAGUCAGCGGCGAACGGGUGAGUAACACGUGAGUAACCUGCCCUUGACUCUGGGAUAACUGCGGGAAACUGUAGCUAAUACCGGAUACGACCCUCGGCGGCAUCGCCAGGGGGUGGAAAGAAUUUCGGUCAAGGAUGGACCCGCGGCCUAUCAGCUAGUUGGUGGGGUAACGGCUCACCAAGGCGACGACGGGAAGGCGGCCUGGGGGGGUGACCGGCCACGCUGGGCCUGAGAAACGGCCCAGACUCCUACGGGAGGCAGCAGUGGGGAAUAUUGCACAAUGGGCGCAAGCCUGAUGCAGCAAGGCGGCGUGAGGGAUGACGGCCUUCGGGUUGUAAACCUCUUUUAGUAGGGAAGAAGCGAAAGUGACGGUACCUGCAGAAAAAGCACCGGCUAACUACGUGCCAGCAGCCGCCGUAA